GCUCCAUCAUAGCUCUCAGAGGUAACCAACCCUACCAACACAUUGGUUUCAGACUUCCAGCACCAAGAACGGAAGAAAAAUAAUCAUUAUUGAGUGUAAUUGAAGAAAUACUACUCUUAGAAGAAAAACACAACAAAAAAGCAUCAUAACCAGGGACAUUGAUGAAGCUGGAAACCAUCAUUCUUAUCAAACUGAACCUAAGGUAGAUGACAGGGUGAAGG
rnacentral:lncRNA from 1 species